rnacentral:rRNA from 1 species
UUCCGGUUGAUCCUGCCGGACCUGACUGCUAUCGGAUUGAUACUAAGCCAUGCGAGUCUUUGCAGUAAUGCAAGGCAUACGGCUCAGUAACACGUAGUCAACUUACCCUAUGGACGAGGAUAAUCUCGGGAAACUGAGCAUAAUACUCGAUAGAUCAUAAUGCCUGGAAUGGUUUAUGGUUGAAAUGAUUCGUCGCCAUAGGAUGGGACUGCGGCCUAUCAGCUUGUUGGUGAGGUAAUGGCCCACCAAGGCGAUUACAGGUACGGGCUCUGAGAGGAGAAGCCCGGAGAUGGGUACUGAGACAAGGACCCAGGCCCUAUGGGGCGCAGCAGGCGAGAAAACUUUGCAAUGUGCGAAAGCACGACAAGGUUAAUCCGAGUGAUUUCUGCUAAAGAAAUCUUUUGCAAGUCAUAAAACCACUAGUGAAUAAGGGGUGGGCAAGUUCUGGUGUCAGCCGCCGCGGUAAAACCAGCACCUCAAGUGGUCAGGAGGAUUAUUGGGCCUAAAGCAUCCGUAGCCGGCUCUGUAAGUUUCCGGUUAAAUCCAUGUGCUCAACGCAUGGGCUGCCGAAAAUACUGCAUAGCUAGGGAGUGGGAGAGGUAGACGGUACUCGGUAGGAAGGGGUAAAAUCCUUUGAUCUAUCGAUGACCACCUGUGGCGAAGGCGGUCUACCAGAACACGUUCGACGGUGAGGGAUGAAAGCUGGGGGAGCAACCGGAUUAGAUACCCGGGUAGUCCCAGCUGUAAACGAUGCAGACUCGAUGAUGCAUUGGCAUAUAGCCAGUGCAGUGUCGCAGGGAAGCCGUUAAGUCUGCCGCCUGGGAAGUACGUACGCAAGUAUGAAACUUAAAGGAAUUGGCGGGGGAGCACCACAAGGGGUGAAGCCUGCGGUUCAAUUGGAGUCAACGCCGGG